AAUGAACGCUGGCGGCAGGCCUAACACAUGCAAGUCGAACGGAUCCUUCGGGAUUAGUGGCGGACGGGUGAGUAACGCGUGGGAACAUACCCAAAGGUACGGAAUAGCCUCGGGAAACUGGGAGUAAUACCGUAUGUGCUCGAAAGAGGAAAAAUUUAUCGCCUUUGGAUUGGCCCGCGUUGGAUUAGGUAGUUGGUGGGGUAAUGGCCUACCAAGCCGACGAUCCAUAGCCGGUUUGAGAGGAUGAUCAGCCACACUGGGACUGAGACACGGCCCAGACUCCUACGGGAGGCAGCAGUGGGGAAUCUUAGACAAUGGGGGAAACCCUGAUCUAGCCAUGCCGCGUGAUCGAUGAAGGCCUUAGGGUUGUAAAGAUCUUUCAGGUGGGAAGAUAAUGACUGUACCACCAGAAGAAGCCCCGGCUAACUCCGUGCCAGCAGCCGCAGUAA
rnacentral:rRNA from 1 species